ACGGAGGGUGCAAGCGUUGUCCGGAAUCAUUGGGCGUAAAGAGUUCGUAGGUGGCAUGUUAAGUCUGGUGUUAAAGCCCGAAGCUCAACUUCGGUUCGGCACUGGAUACUGGCAAGCUUGAAUGCGGUAGAGGUAAAGGGAAUUCCUGGUGUAGCGGUGAAAUGCGUAGAUAUCAGGAGGAACAUCGGUGGCGUAAGCGCUUUACUGGGCCGUAAUUGACACUGAGGAACGAAAGCCGGGGUAGCAAAUGG
rnacentral:rRNA from 1 species